GCGAUGAGGGUGUAGCGGUAGCACGUCCACCUAAACAUCUUUCUUCACAGAUAGCCCUGGUUUGAUUCCAGGUUGUCGCC